CAAGAAUCGAGGCUGACGGUGCCUACUCCCUAGGCUCCGUCCAGUCCCGCUCUCUACCUUGAAUACGUUACCGUUUGUUGCUUCCUGGCAGGCCGCUCCCUGCCGCCAGGGCCCUCGGCUUCCUUGCCUGCCAGCAAGUACCAAGCUCUUGUUUAAUGAUUCUGACAUAGCUAUAUAAUAGUA
rnacentral:misc_RNA from 1 species